rnacentral:rRNA from 1 species
AUUGAACGCUGGCGGCAGGCCUAACACAUGCAAGUCGAACGAGUGGCGGACGGGUGAGAAAUGUCUGGGAAACUGCCUGAAGGAGGGGGAUAACUACUGGAAACGGUAGCUAAUACCGCAUACCAUCAGAUGGGCCCAGAUGGGAUUAGCUUGGUGGGUGGGUAACGGCUCACCAAGGAGACGAUCCCUAGCUGGUCCGAGAGGAUGACCAGCCACACUGGAACUGAGACAAGGUCCAGACUCCUACGUGAGGCAGCAGUGGGGAAGAUUGCACAAUGGGCGCAAGCCUGAUGCAGCCAUGCCGCGUGUAUGAAGAAGGCCUUCGGGUUGUAAAGUACUUUCAUCGGGGAGGCGUUACCCGCAGAAGAAGCACCGGCUAACUCCGUGCCAGCAGCCGCGGUAAUUC